GAUGAACGCUGGCGGCGUGCCUAAUACAUGCAAGUCGUGCGGCAGCAUGCCCUUCGGGGUGAUGGCGAGCGGCGGACGGCUGAGUAACACGUGGGAAUCCACCCCGAAGUGAGGGAUAACUGCCCGAAAGGGUAGCUAAUACCGCAUAUGGUCUUCGGAUUAAAGCUUUUAGCGCUUCGGGAGGAGCCCGCGUUCGAUUAGUUUGUUGGUGAGGUAAUGGCUCACCAAGACGAUGAUCGAUAGCUGGUCUGAGAGGAUGAUCAGCCAGACUGGAACUGAGACACGGUCCAGACUCCUACGGGAGGCAGCAGUAAGGAAUAUUCCACAAUGGGGGAAACCCUGAUGGAGCGACGCCGCGUGGAGGAUGAAGGCCUUCGGGUUGUAAACUUCUUUUCUAUGCGAAGAAUAUGACGGUAACAUAGGAAUAAGGGUCUGCUAACUACGUGCCAGCAGCCGCCGCCG
rnacentral:rRNA from 1 species